UGUAAACAAUUCCUGGAAGAUGAAAAUGUCCCAGUUCCUCCAUGGCCUGCAUACUCACCAGACAUGUCACUCAUUGAGACAAGAACAACAAAGCUAUACAAGGACAAGGUCACCAACUCAUGGCUGUGCGCUCAAGGCUAUAUGAUAUGACUAUAAAAUCACGGACCUCUCCCCCAGGGUCUGAGACUGGUGGCAGUCCCCUCCGGAAACUAUGUGGGGGUAGAACUCGGCGGGGAACUCUAGCAGGAGCCUGUCAAUCAGACACAGGCGGCCCAGCAGGGCCUGCCAGUUAUUGGCCUCCGUCUGGGGCCCCAGGAUGCAGUUCAGGACAUAGUCGACCCCGCCAAUACCGAUGGAACCUGGGAGAAAGGAUCUGUGGGGGUACAGUAAUAUUAAAGAGUCUCACCAGUGCGGCCACGUAGACCUUGUAGACAGGGUCGGCACACACCAUGGAGAGGACGCUGCAGCAUGACUCCAACACCACAUCACCUGACACCUCUGUACAGCCCGCCCCGGCCCCCAGCCCGGCCCCCGGGCAGGAGUGCUCGCCAUUGGCCAGGAGGAGCGCGCCACUGACGUCGUGCAACAGCCGCCGCAGGGCCAUCUCCCGGAUGUUCCAGUUCCUGGAGAACAGGCAGCCCACCAACUCCAUGCCAAACACCUGGAGAGGAGGACACACACACAAUUAUGACUACGAACGGAAUAUGGCACUGAUCUGAUACAGACAUCCACUACAUGUAAACCCUCUUGGUAUGCAAAGGGAUGACAUUUGGUUUUGUUUGCCUAGUGCAAUGGAACAAUUCCUAAAUGUAAUGGAAUAGUCACAAAAUGCAAGCUCGAAAAGGUAAAUAAAGUAUUUGAAAGUAUUGUACA